CCUCGUUCUAUGUUGCCAGCACGUGAUGGUGGGGACUCAUAGGAGACUGCCGGGGUCAACUCGGAGGAAGGUGGGGAUGACGUCAAAUCAUCAUGCCCCUUAUGUCUUGGGCUUCACGCAUGCUACAAUGGCCGGUACAAAGGGUUGCGAUACUGUGAGGUGGAGCUAAUCCCAAAAAGCCGGUCUCAGUU
rnacentral:rRNA from 1 species